rnacentral:lncRNA from 1 species
CUUUGCAUCCGUGACAGCUGUUUAUUCGGGACAAUUAUAUAAUUUUUAAUGUAAACUUUGUUGUACGAACGUACAUGACUUUUAGAACGCACCUACGCAUGUGAGAUUUCCGCGGGGUUUUGGGUGAAUGUAAACAGAAAGAUACGAGGACCGAGAAUACUGAACACAAACAGAGAAAACGUUAUUUAAAUGGUAUCUUUGUGCUUCUGAAGGUUAUCGA